rnacentral:misc_RNA from 1 species
GGUUAAGCUUGACCCGCAGCAGUUGCAGUCAGUGAGAAGUUUGGGCCCGAUGAAAUUGGAGCGCCAGCUUUCGGAUUCAUCGAUGUUUUUGCAACAGCAACAACAGCAGCAGUACUUGCAGCUGUCGAGGCACUCUCCACAGGCUGCCGCAGCACAGAUAAAUAUGUUGCACCAACAACGUUUGAUGCAGCUCCAGCAGCAGCAGCAGCAGCAAAUUCUUA